UGAUAGCGUGGAAGCGGAGGUUGCCGCAACCGCAGAAUGAGCGGGUUCGCGGGUUUUUCGUGGAGCGAAUGUCAAUUAAAAAUAACUGGCGACAA
rnacentral:ncRNA from 1 species